rnacentral:rRNA from 1 species
CGGACGGGUGAGUAAUGUAUGGGGAUCUGCCUGAUGGCGGGGGAUAACUACUGGAAACGGUAGCUAAUACCGCAUAACGUCGCAAGACCAAAGAGGGGACCUUCGGGCCUCUUGCCAUCGGAUGUGCCCAGAUGGGAUUAGCUAGUAGGUGGGGUAACGGCUUACCUAGGCGACGAUCCCUAGCUGGUCUGAGAGGAUGAUCAGCCACACUGGGACUGAGACACGGCCCAG